GGAGGGCAGAGUUCUUUGAGCUGGGUCAGAAAGGAGUGAGGUGGGAGGAAGACAGGCACAGAGACUUACUAAGGUCGAUGCUAAUGACAGCCAGUGACAUUGCUGCCAUUACAAAGCCUUGGCAUAUUCAGAAGAGGACAGCUAAACUGGUGGCAUCAGAGUUU